rnacentral:rRNA from 1 species
CCUACGGGAGGCAGCAGUGAGGAAUAUUGGUCAAUGGGCGAGAGCCUGAACCAGCCAAGUCGCGUGAGGGAGUACUGCCCUAUGGGUUGUAAACCUCUUUUGUCGGGGAGCAAAAGCCGGACGUGUCCGGCUGUGAGAGUACCCGAAGAAAAAGCAUCGGCUAACUCCGUACCAGCAGCCGCGGUAAUACGGAGGAUGCGAGCGUUAUCCGGAUUUAUUGGGUUUAAAGGGUGCGCAGGCGGAUUUUUAAGUCAGCGGUAAAAUCGUGGGGCUCAACCCCAUCCAGCCGUUGAAACUGGGGAUCUAGAGUGUGCGAGAGGUAUGCGGAAUGCGUGGUGUAGCGGUGAAAUGCAUAGAUAUCACGCAGAACCCCGAUUGCGAAGGCAGCAUACCGGUGCACAACUGACGCUCAGGCACGAAAGCGUGGGUAUCGAACAGGAUUAGAUACCCUAGUAGUC